UACGUAGGGGGCGAGCGUUGUCCGGAUUUACUGGGCGUAAAGGGCGCGUAGGCGGCAUGACAAGUCACUUGUGAAAUCUCUGGGCUUAACCCAGAACGGCCAAGUGAUACUGCAGUGCUAGAGUGUGGAAGGGGCAAUCGGAAUUCUUGGUGUAGCGGUGAAAUGCGUAGAUAUCAAGAGGAACACCUGAGGUGAAGACGGGUUGCUGGGCCAACACUGACGCUGAUGCGCGAAAGCCAGGGGAGCAAACGGG
rnacentral:rRNA from 1 species